AUUGAACGCUGGCGGCAGGCCUAACACAUGCAAGUCGAGCGAGCGGCGGACGGGUGAGUAAUGUAUGGGGACUGCCCGAUAGAGGGGGAUAACUACUGGAAACGGUGCCUAAUACCGCAUACUAUCCGCUCACCCAUAUGGGAUUAGCUAGUAGGUUGGGUAAAGGCUCACCUAGGCGACGAUCCCUCGCUGGUCUGAGAGGAUGAUCGGCCACACUGGGACUGUGACACGGACAAGACUCCUACGGAGGCGGGAGUGGGGAAUAUUGCACAAGGGGCGCAAGCCUGAUGCAGCCAUGCCGCGUGUAUGAAGAAGGCCUUAGGGUUUUAAAGUACUUUCAGCGGGGAGGCGUUAACCGCAGAAGAAGCACCGGCUAACUCCGUGCCAGCAGCCGCGGUAAUUC
rnacentral:rRNA from 1 species